UGUGCUAGACAGAUGUGGGGAGAAAGGCAGUUCUGGGAGACUGGCUGUGACCGCCAUGGUAGACUUGCCUGGACCCCCCCUGCCACCGACUCAUUUGGGUCUGUAUAGAUGCAGAGCUUUUGACCCCUCCCUCCUGGGGGUAUGAAGUAUAUGGAGUGGACUGUAGACCCUGGGAGCCAACUGUGAACUGCCAUGCAAAUGUAAACCUGCCAACCUAAGUCAGGAAAUUCAACCCCUGCUACCACCACCACCACCACCGCCGCCGCCGCCACUAACCACCACCACCACCGCCGCCGCCACAGCCACCACCACCACCACCACCGCUGCGCCCACACAUACUUUUACUAGUAUUGCAGAUGGAACCCAAGACCUUGUUCAUGAUCUGACUGUAGCAAGGAGAUUGUCAUCUAUCAACAAAAAAGUCAGCUGGUCUAUUUAGAAAUAACAGACAUUUCAUAGAGCCCCAUCAGGAAAGAUCAAUAAACUAAAAGCAAAAGAAACAGAGGAAGGGCCCCAGGGCUCCUUGAGAACAUAAGGAUGUGAUCUUGUUUCUAAGGAAGAUGACGAGAAUGAAGGGGUUUUCCAUGGUGUCUGUUCUUCCCCGCACACCCCCGUGAACUAGAAAAGUUCUUUGUUCAAGAAGUAUUAAUAACAUAAAAUACUAGUAUGGAGUUAUUUUUUCCACAUGUUUUUGAGAUUACAAUACAAUUACAUCAUUUCUCCUUUUUGUUUCCUCUCUCUAAAUUCCCCCACAUGUUCCCCCUUGCUCUCUUUCAAAUU